GCCAGCAAUCCACUGAGCCCAAACUCGGCGUCAGACAAAGGACAGUUCAUCCCAUCCCUCUCCCGGGGAGUCAAGAGAGGAGGCCCAGACAAGCCAGGGUUCCCCAGGCCGCCGCCAGAACCCCGGGGGUGCGCCCGGGCGGGGAGAGGCGCCGGGGUGUGCCUGCCCCUGUGUAUGACAGGGGGCACAGGAGCAUCACCCCGGCUGUACCCCCUGGGUAUGCACCGGGACUGGGGCCAUGGCGACAGAAAGCCCCGGCGAGGGGCAUUUCCUAGCCGGACCUGGCUGCUCUCUCCCGGAAGGGGUGCCAGGAUCUCUCCGACCUGCCCAACACCACCUUGAGCUGGGAGGAGGACAAAUUAAGCAGGGAGAGGAACCGGCAUGGAAACCGAACCGAGCUGACUCGGAGCGGAGAGAGGUGCCAGAGCCCAGGCUGCCCGACCAGCGCCGGCGGAGUGAAUUUCCAUCACUGUCCGGCAUCCCGCCUGCCUGGAGCUGCUGCUGCGCUGUCCGCCCGAGUCCUCCUGGCCCUGCAGGUUAUCGUAGCCCCGCGGCAGCUCCUCCAAGAAAAGGGUGGGUGGACCGACCUGGGAAAUAGCCUUCCACCUCUUGUGUCCAAGACUUUCGGCAAAAGAAAGGGACCUCGGGGAGAAUCUGUUACUGCGGGUUGAAAGAAAUAACAUUAAUGCUUGUCUAGAGGGAGACGAGGAAAAAAGGGAAGAAAAUUAAAAGCUCUGGCUUUUUUUUUUUUUUUUCUUUCUUCUUCCACGGUGUGGAAGUUGUCAGAAGAGACAAAGCCGAGGUUUUCAGCCACCCCAGAGUCGCGGAAAGUCCCUGAAACCUUUCAAGUGAAAUGAGCAGGAGCCGGUCCUCAGAGCCUCUGAGAGGACGCGGGGAGCGGCCGGGCAACGGCUGCAGGGCAGCCCGUUAGUCGGCAGCGGCCGCCGGGCAGCGGGCAGGGGUAGGCAGCCAGUGGGGGCCCCGGCCACCCUGUCUCCGGCACCCACGCACCCUCCCCGGCGUGCAGGGAGCAGCUUUACCGAACAAACUGUUCUAUUGUACUGCAAGCCCUUUACCAACCCCCAAACCUGUUACAAAACAGCAACCCCGUGCUUCUUUCUUUGCGGAGAAGAAGACGCACACUCACGCACACGCACAAAACAUGGCAGGCAGGAGCAGGGGGAGAAGAAAGGAGUGGGAGGGCAACAGGGAGGAAGACUAGACAGAGAGGUCGGCUUGCAAAUGUGGAUGUACUUUCUUCACAUACGUGUAGAGAUGAGCCAGAGAACUUUGCACACACAGAGCUGAAGUCUCCACCUGGGCACUUUUCAUGAGCGAGCUGCUGUUAUUCACCUUCAGCCUUACAGCAUCAUCCAUCAAGCCCAAAGACAGAACUCCUCUGGGACACGCAAAACUGGACAUGGGAACUCCCUGGGUGAGGGUUGAAGCCAGCAGAGGGAGGAUGGAUGCCGAGGCUGCUCUGCUCUUGCUUUGACCUCUUGUUGGCCCUCAGUGAAUCUCUUCAUUUUCUUUAGCAAACAGGCAAAAAGGAGACAACCACUGAGGAAGGGAUGAUUACUAGGUAGCGAAGGAGGAAACUGUGGAAUGGGUAAACAGCAUGGCCAUGCUAAUUAUUCUUAGCAGCUUUUAGUCCUCCUCUUCUUUUAAACAUGCUUUUUCACCCUGUGGCAACACUCAGCUGCCUUAUUCUGGCCCUGCAGUACUGAGAUUGGAUUUACCACCUUAUGGAGGUGAGGUGGAUGGAAUACAAAACUUCUUUUCUACUAAAUGACCAAACACAAACCGUUGUUUUUGAUCCUUGCUCAUUCUUCAAAGAUCAACCAGAGAAGGGAACAGGAUGCAUACAAAAUGCCAUUAAACCUGUGAGCAUCUCUUGGUAGGUGCUGUUCAAAUGGCUUUUGAACGUUUCAGCAUAUCUUUAGUUCUCUUUGAUUUUUCUGAGGUCAUACGGGUGGUUACUGACAGAAUUAUACAAAUACAGUCUUCACAGCUCAGCAAUCCUUGGAUCCAGAUUUGGAGUUCAAUGUGGGUGGCAUAGAAGCAAAUGCCAAUAAGAAGGCUAGGACAGGGCUGUUACUUACAGAAACUAAAUGACGCAGUAUAGAGCCUUUGCAAGCCGCAAUUAAAGAGCCGGGAGAAUAUUUUGUAACUAUUAAAGUGUAAGGGGGAAACCUCAGCCUUUUGUAAUGCUGUUUUAUUUUCUUUCUUUAAUGCAUGUUUUAAUCUUGCCUUGAGACGUAUUUCUGUAACUUAAUGUCAACCAGAAUCAAUCAGUAACUUUCAAGUCUUCUGCUGCUAGGGCCAUUUGCAACUCUGCUGCGGGAACAACUUUCAGCUUAUUUUAGGGUCAAGACUUUAGACCUCAACAACUGCAUGUUCCCUUUGUCCAGAGAGCCUCUGUAGUGCCUAGAGAUAGAUUUUACUAAACUUCCUAUAGACUUUACACUGGUUUUGUAUGGUUAACUUAUCACACAAUGACAAGGUAUUGUCCAAAAACUUUUAAAUAAAAGCCAUCACACUGACACACUGCGGAUCAAUACAGAGUUACGCAAACCUCCGAGACAAUAAGAGCUGUUGGGUAAAGCACUGAAUAGAGACCCAGGAAAGUUGUAAGUUAUCGUGCCGUCUCUGCCACUGUCCUGCUAAUGCUGCUGGGUUUGCAGGAUGUCUCGGUUUUUCAAGUUUCCCAUCUGUUGAAUGGGGAUGUGGUACUCACAGGCAAUCUCAGUGUAGCUGAAGGCACAUUUUGGAAUGCAAGCACACAGAGCAAUCAUUGAGUGUCAAGUACACAUGCACAGGCUACAGUUCAUAUUGUGGGAAGUACUGGGACGAGUUACCAGAAAGAAAAAAAAUAAAAAUUACCCUAUGAAAAACCUCAAAAAAUCUGAUUACAAAGUAAAACAGAGAAAUAUGGGUUUGCUACAUUACUUUAGACCGCUACGAUAACAAAAUAGUUUUGUGUGCAUUUACGCAUGUGUGUAUGGACAUACAUAUGUGUGUUUGGAUGGGUGCAGGGGUGGAUGUAUAUGCAUAUACAUAUAUACAAAAAUAGGUAUAUGCAUAUAUAUACACACACUACUGCAGUGGUGUAUCUAUGCCAUAUCUAUUCUUUUGCUUAUACAACAGCACAUGUAUAAUACAGACAAUAGCUGAGCAGGAACCAAAAGCAUUUACUGACAGCAAUAAAAGGGAUUUGUGUUUUAGAAACAGAAAAGCCAUUUUUGACUUUUACACUUUUUCUGAUCAAUCCAUAGUGUUAAAUAUUUCUGAAUUGUCUGGUUACCAAGUUUCAGUCAUGUAAAUUUGGUCACUGAUCAGACCAUAAUAUAUACAUAUUUUAUGGGAUUCAUACCUUCAGAUUUCUCUGAGCUAUUAAUGAAAAAAACAAGAAUAAAAAAUUGCUAUAAGGAGUUCCAUAGGGAGGGAGGAAUGACCCCAGAUUUACACUGUGAACUGUCCUGCAAUCAUUGUCAUGACUGAAUUUUCAAGACAACUGUCACAUCCCAGUGGAUUUCAGAGCAUAUUAAGUGCAGUCCUUCCUGGGAAGGCUGAAAAGAAGGGGUAUUACCUGAAGACCCGCCACACCAACUGACUUCAGACUUGCAUGGGUAAUGUUGCCCCUGGCUCUGAUGAGGUAUAACAAUUUUCAAAACAUGUCAGAGAUGCCUGUGGAUUUUAGAACACUUUGAAAUCCAAGUCUUAAAUGAGAAGUUUUGCUCCCAGGGCAUAACUUUGAAAACAGAGUGCAGGAAGACAGCAAAUGAGUCACAGCAAAGCCCUCUGGAAGCUCUGAAGAGCACAAUUUUGAUAUAAGAAUCUGAGCAAUGGAAAGGAUUCAGUUCUUGUUCUUUUGAAGCAUUCUGAAGUAUUGAUCCCCUCCAGUACAGCUCAUGGUAUGCUUGUGCUCCUCCACACAUAAAAAUUAAUAAAUGAUCCUUUGAACACAGUAAGACUUGCCAGAUAUUAGUGCUGGGAUAUUUUUUUAAAGGUGAGCUUUACUUCUUAAACAACUUGUACCCUAGAAAUUGAUGGGAUUCUCCAAUUUGUCAUCAUCACCCAACAAACUUUUGAAUUUUAGAGCUCCCAAAAAAAUCAGCUGUCCUACAGAAUGCUAUUUUCACCAUAAACUCCAAUAGUACAUCAUUGCACCAUUAAACACGCUGCUUUCAAGAUGCGUUGUCAAUGGUUUUCAAAUACACAUUAUUUUUUACACCC